rnacentral:rRNA from 1 species
GACGAACGCUGGCGGCGUGCCUAAUACAUGCAAGUCGAACGCUGAAGGAGGAGCUUGCUUCUCUGGAUGAGUUGCGAACGGGUGAGUAACGCGUAGGUAACCUGCCUGGUAGCGGGGGAUAACUAUUGGAAACGAUAGCUAAUACCGCAUAAGAGUAGAUGUUGCAUGACAUUUGCUUAAAAGGUGCAAUUGCAUCACUACCAGAUGGACCUGCGUUGUAUUAGCUAGUUGGUGGGGUAACGGCUCACCAAGGCGACGAUACAUAGCCGACCUGAGAGGGUGAUCGGCCACACUGGGACUGAGACACGGCCCAGACUCCUACGGGAGGCAGCAGUAGGGAAUCUUCGGCAAUGGACGGAAGUCUGACCGAGCAACGCCGCGUGAGUGAAGAAGGUUUUCGGAUCGUAAAGCUCUGUUGUAAGAGAAGAACGAGUGUGAGAGUGGAAAGUUCACACUGUGACGGUAGCUGACCAGAAAGGGACGGCUAACUACGUG